AUUGAACGCUGGCGGCAUGCCUUACACAUGCAAGUCGAACGGUAGGGGGAGCAAUCCCCUGAGAGUGGCGAACGGGUGAGUAAAGCAUCGGAACGUGCCCAGUUGUGGGGGAUAACUACUCGAAAGAGUGGCUAAUACCGCAUACGACAUGAGGGUGAAAGCGGGGGACCGAAAGGCCUCGCGCAGUUGGAGCGGCCGAUGUCAGAUUAGCUAGUUGGGGGGGGAAAGGCCCACCAAGGCGACGAUCUGUAGCUGGUUUGAGAGGACGACGAGCCACCCGGGGACUGAGACACGGCCCAGACUCCUACGGGAGGCAGCAGUAGGGAAUUUUGGACAAUGGGCGCAAGCCUGAUCCAGCCAUGCCGCGUGCAGGAAGAAGGCCUUCGGGUUGUAAACUGCUUUUGUCAGGGAAGAAAUCCCUUGGGUUAAUACCUCGGGGGGAUGACGGUACCUGAAGAAUAAGCACCGGCUAACUACGUGCCAGCCGCCGCCGUAACAC
rnacentral:rRNA from 1 species